UGCAAGUCGAGCGCGCCCUUCGGGGUGAGCGGCGGACGGGUGAGUAACGCGUGGGAACGUACCCUUUGCUACGGAAUAGCCUCGGGAAACUGAGAGUAAUACCGUAUACGCCCUUUGGGGGAAAGAUUUAUCGGCAAAGGAUCGGCCCGCGUUGGAUUAGGUAGUUGGUGGGGUAAUGGCCCACCAAGCCGACGAUCCAUAGCUGGUUUGAGAGGAUGAUCAGCCACACUGGGACUGAGACACGGCCCAGACUCCUACGGGAGGCAGCAGUGGGGAAUCUUAGACAAUGGGGGCAACCCUGAUCUAGCCAUGCCGCGUGAGUGAUGAAGGCCUUAGGGUUGUAAAGCUCUUUCAGCUGGGAAGAUAAUGACGGUACCAGCAGAAGAAGCCCCGGCUAACUCCGUGCCAGCAGCCGCGGUAAUACGGAGGGGGCUAGCGUUGUUCGGAAUUACUGGGCGUAAAGCGCACGUAGGCGGACC
rnacentral:rRNA from 1 species